ensembl:snRNA U2 U2 spliceosomal RNA
CUCACUUUUCAGCCUUUUGGCUAAGAUCAAGUGUAGUAUCUCUUCCAGCACUUUCCCCAGAUCUAAAUUAAUCACAAUCUUUAACAUAUAUAUAAAUGCAUACUUACCUACAUGCAGCAAAGAAGUGCUGCAUUUUAGGUUGCUGAC